rnacentral:rRNA from 1 species
UGGGGGAAUAUUGGACAAUGGGGGCAACCCCUGAUCCAGCCAUGCCGCGUGAGUGAUGAAGGCCUUCGGGUUGUAAAGCUCUUUUGGCGGGGACGAUGAUGACGGUACCCCGCAGAAUAAGCCCCGGCUAACUUCGUGCCAGCAGCCACGGUAAGACGAAGGGGGCUAGCGUUGUUCGGAAUUACUGGGCGUAAAGCGAGUGUAGGUGGUUUUCCAAGUUGGAUGUGAAAGCCUUGAGCUCAACUCAAGAAAUGCAUUCAGGACUGGGAGACUAGAGGACCGGAGAGGAUAGUGGAAUUCCCAGUGUAGUGGUGAAAUACGUAGAGAUUGGGAAGAACACCAGUGGCGAAGGCGGCUAUCUGGACGGUUUCUGACACUAAGACUCG